rnacentral:rRNA from 1 species
UACGUAGGGUGCGAGCGUUAAUCGGAAUUACUGGGCGUAAAGCGUGCGCAGGCGGUUCGUUGUGUCGGCGGUGAAAGCCCCGGGCUUAACCUGGGAACGGCCGUUGAAAACGGCGAACUGGAGUGUGGCAGAGGGGGGUGGAAUUCCGCGUGUAGCAGUGAAAUGCGUAGAGAUGCGGAGGAACACCGAUGGCGAAGGCGGCUACCUGGUCCGGAUCUGACGCUGAGGCGCGAAAGCGUGGGGAGCAAACAGG